AUUCCGGUUGAUCCUGCGGGAGGUUGCUGCUAUUAGGAUUCGAUUUAGCCAUGCAAGUCAGAUAACUUCGGUUGUCGGCGGAAUGCUCAGUAACACGUCGUUAACUUGCCCUUUGGUCAUUGAUAACUUCGGGAAACUGAAGGUAAACAAUGAUAGGUGGUAUAUCCUGGAAUGGUUUAUCACUGAAAUUCGUGCCAGAGGAUAGGACGGCGGCCGAUUAGGUUGAUGGUGGUGUAAUGGACCACCAUGCCAUCGAUCGGUACGGGCCUUGAGAGAGGUAGCCCGGAGAGGGACACUGAGAGACUGGUCCCAGCCCUACGGGGUGCAGCAGGCGCGAAACCUUUACAAUGCACGAAAGUGUGAUAAGGGAAUCCUAAGUGCUCAUGCAUUGCAUGGGCUUUUGCCAAGAGUAAAUAUCUUGGCGAAUAAGUGGUGGGUAAGACCGGUGCCAGCCGCCGCGGUAACACCGGCGCCACAAGUGGCAACCGCGUUUAUUGGGCCUAAAGCGUCCGUAGCCGGUAUGGCAAAUCUCAUGUGAAAUCGUCGGGCUUAACCUGACGGCGUGCUUGAGACACUACCAUGCUCGAGACCGGGAGGGGUCAGAGGUAUUCCGUGGGGAGCGGUAAAAUGUGAUAAUCCUCGGAAGAUCUCCUAUGGCGAAGGCAUCUGACCAGAACGGAUCUGACGGUGAGGGACGAAGGCCAGGGGAGCGAUCCGGAUUAGAUACCCGAGUAGUCCUGGCAGUAAACGCUGUGAGCUAGAUGUUGCCCCUCUUAAGAGGAUGGGCAGUAUCGAAAGGAAGCUGAUAAGCUCACCGCCUGGGAAGUACGGUCGCGAGACUGAAACUUUAAGGAAUUGGCGGGGGAGCGCCACCAGGGGUGCGGCGUGCGGUUUAAUCUAACUCAACACAGAGAACCUCACUAGAAGCGACGGCAGGAAGAAAGUCAGUCUGAAGGGCUUACUAGACGAGCCGAGAGGUAGUGCAUGGCCGCCGUCAGCUCGUGCCGUAAGGUGUCCAGUUAAGUCUGGCAACGAGCGAGACCUAUGCCCACUAUUGCUAACGGCUGUUUACAGGACCGAGCACUUUGUGGGGACUGCCUCGGAAACGAGGAGGAAGGUGUAGGCAACGGUAGGUCUGUAUGCUCCGAAUCUUCUAGGCUACACGCGCGCAACAUUGGCAGUGACAAUGGGCUGCAACUCCGAAAGGAGAAGCUAAUCCUUGAAACACUGCCUCAGUUCUGAUUGUGGGUUGGAACCCACCCACAUGAAGCCGGAAUCCCUAGUAACCAGACGUCAUCAACGUCCGGUGAUAUGUCCCCGCUCCUUGCACUCACCGCCCGU
rnacentral:rRNA from 1 species